rnacentral:snRNA from 1 species
CGUUUCUAACAACAAUCAGCAC